rnacentral:rRNA from 1 species
UACGAAGGGGGCUAGCGUUGCUCGGAAUCACUGGGCGUAAAGGGUGCGUAGGCGGGGCUUUAAGUCAGGGGUGAAAUCCUGGAGCUCAACUCCAGAACUGCCUUUGAUACUGAAGAUCUUGAGUUCGGGAGAGGUGAGUGGAACUGCGAGUGUAGAGGUGAAAUUCGUAGAUAUUCGCAAGAACACCAGUGGCGAAGGCGGCUCACUGGCCCGGAACUGACGCUGAGGUACGAAAGCGUGGGGAGCAAACAGG